rnacentral:lncRNA from 1 species
UCUCAGUGCUCAAGCAUCCAAUCAAUUCAAAUGAGGGUCAACAAAAAAAGAAUAGGACCUAUUAUUCCUACAUGUUCCAUUAGUAACAUUCCCUUGAGAUGUUACUGCGGAUUUUGCUUGGGUUUAAUCUUUCCCGAUUAUAAAUCAUAUAGAAAUUUCUUAUAAAAUGAGCGAAUUUAUUGGAUUGGUUUAUUAAUAGUCUUCGUUCUUUUUGACUCUGCGCCAUUGAUUCUACUAUUAUUAGUGAGGAAUAAUGGAACAAUUCCUUUAUAUUUAUAGAGAUAGGGGACAUAAUUCAUAUGGAUAUAGUAAGUCUUGCUUGGGCUGCUUUAAUGGUAGUCUUUACUUUUUCCCUUUCACUCGUAGUGUGGGGAAGGAGUGGACUCUAGGGGUUCUGCUAAUUGAGUUAAGGAAGCAAACUGUAUCAUUAUCAAUUGCUUUCUAGAUGGUUCUGCAACACGUUUGGAACAAAAUAAAAAUAUCUUCAUUUUGAAAUUCCAUUGGACUCGACUGGAGUAAUGUAUUAUAGGAAUCAGCCUCUUUCAAUCAAAGAGCUAUUUCAACGAUUCCCAUGUUUGUAGUUCGAAAGGAAAAGGAUCCCAGGAAAUUUAUUCGAACCUAAUUCUUACUAAAUUUUCUAUUCCAAUCAAUGGCCUCUUCCUAGGUGAUACUGAGGAGGGCCGGACCCGUUUUUUAUUUGGUUCUCUCUUUACUGUUCAAAGAAAAAGUGGUUUUGUUAAGUGUAUACGCACUUUGUAUGAGAAAGAAAGGAUAUAAACAUAGUGGUUGUCUAACGAGAUACUAUUUAGAAUAAGAUCGUCAGGUGAGUCACAUAUUGCGCAUUUACCUUUCGAAUUUUGGAAAUUGGAUUUAGACUUUAUCGACUUAUUUCAUAUCAUGGUUCAGGCCUUAAAAAUCAGUGAGGUUUACUCUUCCUUUUCGAUGCCCGUGGAACUACUGUCAAUGGUUUACUUCUUAGGAAUGUUAAAAAAAAAAAAGAUUACUACGUGAUUUUUUGAAUAUGCCUAUAUCUAUCGCUUUUGCUUCAUUGAUUUGAUUCUCUCAAUAGAUACUGAGAUUCAUAUUGGAAAUCAAAAAUAUAGUAAUUCAAACUAUAAGACAUAGGAGUAAUUCAGAUUGAUCAGAACAAAUAGAUAUAGCAAAUAAAUGGAAUUGGAUGCUAUGUCAAUCCCAUAUAUGGAAUUGAUAUUCACAUAUAUCAAGAUAAUAUUGUAGAUUGAUAUAUAGAUCCAUAUCAAAUGCAGCCUCUAUCUUUAUUUUAUUCCAGGGGGCAGCUUUAUAACAAGAAUCUAACUAAUAAAUAGUAUGGUAGAAAGAAAUAGAUGAAUCUUUCUACCAUACUAUCUAUCUAUUAGAAUACUGCCGAUUCUAGUCCACUCAUUUCAUUUAAGACAUGAAAUUGGAAUCUUUUUCAUUUUAUUUCGUCAAUUUUGGCUAAGAACUCAGAAGUCAAGUUUCAUUCAAAUUAGUUAAUAAUUAAUCGUUUUGACUGACUGUUUUUACAUAAAUGAUAAGUAGAAAAGCGGUAGGAACUAGAAUAAAUAGUGCAGUAGCAAUAAAUGCAAGAAUAUUUACUUCCAUAAUCUCAUCGGUUUUUUACUUCGCAAUAACUCGGGAUUUAAUCCCAUAGAGAUGAUAAAUCUUUGGCCUGUAAAUUCAAUGAAUGAAUAUUACCUCUCGAUGAUCUUGAAUCAGAUCAAUAUCAUGAAUAACAAUAUCUGAACUAUCAAAUAAAUUCGUCGUCGAGAAUUGAAUAGUAUAACAUAGGAAGUUCUUUUAUCCAUACCGCCCCAAACUCGGAUUGCUGACCUAACCCAAAAUUCCUUUAUUUAUUUAUCAUUUUUUAUUAUCUGUUCUUUUUUUCUCUCUAAUCUAUCUAGUUCCUUCUUGUACAAUCAUCUGAUGAAGUCUCAUCAAAUAGCUCUUCCACUUCCAGUGGUCACAUAGUUACAAACCCAAACAAACAAUAAAAGCUAAAUGGAAAAAGAAAGGAGUUUAGAACGAAACUAUUUUUGACUUGGAAGACAAAGAAGUGUGAUAAAGAUGAGACCGUAUAAAAUGAAUAUUCAUCAAAUUGACUAUUUUCCGAUUUGUUCGUUCGUCGAUGGGGCCUUAAAACAAAAUGAAAAAUAGGAAAAAUGAUUCAUUCGCCUUUCUAAGAGGAGUAGGAUCUUUGGUUGAUCUGUCCUUCCCCCUCCUUUCUUCGUCGAUUAUUAGCCCCGGGACACCUAUACCAAAAGCUCAGUGUGCAAUUUGCAUGAAAUCUAUUUUGCAACUUCAAACUAGUAAGUCAGGUUCCAUAAAUCCGUAGCCAGAAAAAGAAAUUGUUUUUUUUUUUUUUUGUUUUUUCUGGAAAGUAUUUUCUUAUAUUCAAUUUUGUAUUGGACAACAAAGGAAUUCCUUUUGUGUAUGCGCGCCUCAAAAAAGUAUAGUACUCGAUUCCAUUACAUGCAUCGGGGGCAAUCGAAAAAGCCAGCAUUUCUUGGAAUACUGACUAUAAUGCUACCAAUAAUUGUACUAAUCCAACCGCAUAUGUCUUUCUCCUACCAAAAGGAAAGAAAAAAGAAAUAAGGAUUUCCCCUUUGCUUUGACAAUGGAAUUCUUCCCCCGGUCCCCUUCAGAAAAAGGGAGAGAUUUUUUGAUAUAUUUAUUGGAUCCGUCGGGACUGACGGGGCUCGAACCCGCAGCUUCCGCCUUGACAGGGCGGUGCUCUGACCAAUUGAACUACAAUCCCAGGGAAAUACGGGAUCUAGCAGAAAAUUUGAUUCUUUUUUAUCUCCGGAUCGGGUAUUUCUGAAGUACAAAGGGAGUUAUAUCAUCUCAUGGCGGAUUGGCGAAUUAUUGGGCCGAGCUGGAUUUGAACCAGCGUAGACAUAUUGCCAACGAAUUUACAGUCCGUCCCCAUUAACCGCUCGGGCAUCGACCCAGGAAGAAUCAAUUUUCAACUUAUUGGUAAUCCAUGAUCAAUUUCCUUUCGUAGUACCCUACCCCCAGGGGAAUUCGAAUCCCCGCUGCCUCCUUGAAAGAGAGAUGUCCUAAACCACUAGACGAUGGGGGCCCGCUUGACCAACGGCCAUCAUACUAUGAUGAUAGUAUGAUCCGUUUUUUAAAAUUGUCAAUAUAAUCAAAUGAUUCUAGCCGAGGGAUCUUUCCCCCCUUCAGAAUUGCAUAGAAUUGUUUUUUAUUCGUCAUUGACGAAUUAUUCAUUAGAAUCGACAUUAGAAAUCUAGUAGUAGUAUUUUUUUUUAAUUAUUUCAAUUGAAUUUAUUUCUAUUCGAGUCGGUCUUGAAACAAUUCAUUGCAUUUUCUCCUAUACUUCCUAGGUAAAUCCAUUUUAUUAUUCAACAAUGAGCCACUAGACACUAUGUAUCUACUGCACGUACUUAAUGCAUAUAUACUUAUGUUUAUAAUAUAAGUACAUAUAGAUAUUUUAUCCACAUAGUGAAUAAUUCCGGAAUUAAAUAAAAAAGGCCCUUUUAACUCAGUGGUAGAGUAACGCCAUGGUAAGGCGUAAGUCAUCGGUUCAAAUCCGAUAAGGGGCUUUGUAAAACCCCAAUCUAGUAUUCAUAUUUGAUGGGAGAAUUUUCUUUUUAUUUGUAAUAAAAAAAGUAACUAACUGGAUAAUACAUUAUCAUUAUACUUAGUUAUAAAGUUGAACAUUUGUUUAGUCAAUUUUCAUUAGUAUGAAUUUAGGAAUAAUGAAAAGUCACUUCUUGAAUCACCGAAUAUUCCUAUUUUCCAUUAUACCAACCAAAUCGAUUCGAAAGGUUAGAAAUCAACAAAAGAAAAAGUAAAAAGUAAGUGGACCUGACCUAUUGAAUCAUGACUAUAUCCGCUAUUCUGAUAUUAAAAUUCGAUAGAGAUGAAAUUGGAGCAGUUGAUUUUUUUUAUUUCAUUUUUUUGUUUUGGACUCCACAAGAAUUUGUCGAUAUUUCCGAUUAAAUCUUCUUGUUACUAGAUUUUCUAUAGGAAAAAUUAUCGGAAUAAUUUGUUAUUCCUUUCCUCUACAGAGAAACCUUUCUUCCAAGGCACACCAUAAGAGCCAUUUAUUAUUUUUCUUUGAUUCUAGAUCAAAGAUUAAUUUCAUCUAUAUUAUAUAUUAAUUAUAUUAAGUAGAUUGUAGAUUGAUUUCGAUGUAUAUCUAUCAGAUCAUGGCUUCAUGUACCAAAUAUUUCAAUAUCGUUGCAUCCGGUAUUUUUGUUUUGUUCCACCAGUGUGAUGAAGAAUAGAUCCGAGAAAGAGACUUUCAUUUCCAGUCUCCUAUUUAUUUAUUUAUUGAAUUUUAGAUUUUCUAAAAGGAAAAAUAGUAGAUUAUCUCUUUUUCUAACAGAUAAAAGAAUCUAAAAAUCAAUAUUCGAUCGAACUGUCUUUUUUCCUUCGAUCCGUGGAAAGAUAUACUCUGGGGUUUUCGAUUUAUUUAUAUGAAGUAUGAAGGAAAGGGACCGUUUGGUCCUUGAAGAGUUCUUUCAAAACAAGGGAUUGAUUGAAUUAUCUUAUUAAGACAAUUCAUGGUUCAUAUGCUUAGUCAGAAGGAAUAAUCCAAUGGAGUUCAUGGAUUUACCUAGGUCAGUUUAUGGGCUAAUCAAUAAAGGAUUUUUAUCUUCGAAACCCAUUGGGAAGGGCAGUGCAAGAGAAAUCAGACAAAAAUGAUCGGAUCUUGGGACGCCCCGAAAAAGAUAUGAGGUGCUCGGAAAUGGUCGAAGUAGUUGAAUAGGAGGAUCACUAUGACUAUAGCCAUUGGUAAGUUUACCAAAGACGAAAAUGAUUUAUUUGAUAUUAUGGAUGACUGGUUACGGAGGGACCGUUUCGUUUUUGUAGGCUGGUCCGGUCUAUUGCUCUUUCCUUGUGCCUAUUUCGCUGUAGGGGGUUGGUUCACAGGUACAACCUUUGUAACUUCAUGGUAUACCCAUGGAUUGGCCAGUUCUUAUUUGGAAGGCUGCAAUUUCUUAACUGCCGCGGUUUCUACUCCUGCUAAUAGU